ACUGUGAAGCCUGUCAUAUGAGGAAAGGCUAAGAAAACUGGGCUUGUUCAGCCUUGAGAAAAAAAGGCUUAGGGGAGACUUUAUCACCAUGGUCCAGUAUUUAAAGGAUAGCUCCAGAGAA